rnacentral:lncRNA from 1 species
AGCCGCAGGGAGGGUUGGGAAUCGGAUGAAGAACGAAGAAGGCACGAACGCGCGGGACGCGCGCCGAGAGUUCUCGGGCCAGUGGGUGGUGCCCGCGCCAUUGGCGCGCUCUGAAGCCCGGUUGCUUUGCGGGUCUCACCAGGGUCUGUGCACGUCUGCCUAGCUGUGUGUCGCUCUGUCUGCGUGUCGGCAUCUUAUCUCUGCGUUCCUCGUCCCGUUACGGUGUCUGUUUACAUCUGUCUCACGUGUCUUUACCCUUCUGUAUCUGUCUCCGCGCCAGGCCGCUGUGUCUCGGUGUGGUUGUGUUCCCCGAGUCUCGCGUAUUUCAGGCUUUCCUGGUGUGGUAGAGGGGUUUAGAAACGGCCUACGGGCGCUCCCCGAGGCGGACUCCCGGCUGCGAGGCCGGCUGCCGGCGCGGAAAUCCGGACUCAAAGCGCCCGCCGAGCGACGCAGCUUCCCCGCCUCGGAGGCCCGCGCUGCGCUCGCCGUGUAGGAGGAAUGAAUGGCAGCGUCGCGGUGACGCGGGGAAGCCCGGAGCGCCUGAGGACGCGGCGCGCGCUGCUGUGUGUCCCGAGGGAGUGGGGUGGGGGUGACGCAAGGUGCCCCCCGCCCUUAUUGCCGGGGACACGGAAGGGUCCCCCCACGCACCGAUGGGAACCCGCGCUCUUCUUCCUCCACCCUCUGUGCCCUCACCGCACCCCCGCUCCGGCCGGCCGUCAGCCACAGCGUCACCUGCCCGCUCGCAGGGGCUCUGGCGCAAUCCCUGGACGUGGAGGGGCGGGAUGUCGCCCGUGUGGCCACAGUGACGACAUCCCCGAGAAGAUAAGCAAACUGAGUCUGAAUCCAGACUCUCUCUCACUACUCGCGACACCGUUCUGCCUCCUGCUUGGGGACCUGAGAUUCCGGGGCGGGCAGUGGCUCAGAAGGCAAGGGCAUGCUUCUCAGCCUCAUCUGGUGACCAUCCACAAGCACGGUCCAUGCCGGAGCAGGAGGAGGUCGGAGGGCGAGCUGGGCGUCAAGACAUAGAUUGCACAUUUGCCACUACCUCAAGAAGCCAUCCCCCUUUCAGGAGGCCUGGGAGGCAGGGAGCGGGGCCAUGGAACAGUAGUAGGGUUUAGGCCUGGGAGGAAGGAAAAGUCUUCUUGCUCCAUCGCCAUCUCCACGCUGCGAGCAGGACGAGUCAGCCCCUUCCCCCAGCAUAGAAAACAGUGGGCACUCUUCCACCAGCCGACUGCAGCAGCGCCAGGCCUGGUGACGGAGUGACAAUAUGGAAGGCAGAUGGCAGAUGCAUGGAUGCCACACUAUUGCCUCGCAGUUAAAUAUUGCUUAGUGUUUUUUUUUUUUUUUCUUGUAAACCUCCCAAAUAAAAUGGUUUGCUUUCCUCA